AUGGAGAGGAGCCUGGGAAUUGUGCUGGGGCUGCUGUGGGUGUCACUUUGCUGGGUGAGAGGAAUACAGGUGGAACAGAAUCCUGAAGCCCUGAGUCUUCAUGAGGGAGCUGGCUCUGGUCUGAGAUGCAAUUUUUCUACUACCAUGAACAGUGUGCAGUGGUUCCGACAGAAUCCCAGGGGCAGCCUCAUCAACCUGUUCUUCCUGGCUCCAGGAACAAAGGAGAACGGGAGGUUAAAGUCAACAUUCGAUGCUAAGGAGCGCUACAGCACCCUGCACAUCAGCGAUUCCCAGCUGGAGGACUCAGGCACCUACUUCUGUGCUGCUGAGACACGGUGCUCCCAGUGA